CUCUGUUCUCUGUAGCUGUUGCCUCCCUUUUGGGCUUUCAUUCCACACCCACAUCUGUCUUCAGUACAGGGAAGAGGUUCUUACAGUCAUUAAAGCAGCCUAAGAGGUCUUUAAAAUUUGGCAGAGGUAGAGUCUGUGCUAAAGGGAGACCUCGUGGAGCAGAGAUUAGCAACUGAGGUCAAGUUGUGGAAGGAAAGGAAAAAUGGGAUGAUGUCUUAGGCUUUCUGGACUUGAGAAAUUUGAUCUUCCUCAAUCUUUGCGGAGAUGUUUUAAACAAGGGUCUCACUUUGUUGCCCCGGAUGGAGUGCAGUGGCGUC